rnacentral:rRNA from 1 species
CCCUUAGAUGUUCUGGGCCGCACGCGUGCUACACUGAGUGGAUCAGCGGGUCAGGUUGCGCGAAAGCGUUUCCUAAUCUUUAAAUCCGCUCGUGAUGGGGAUUGACGGUUGCAAUUUUCUGUCAUGAACGAGGAAUACCUUGUAAGCGCGGGUCAUCAUCCCGCGCUGAAUACGUCCCUGCCCUUUGUACACACCGCCCGUCGUUGCUACCGAUUGGUUUACUGAUAGAACCAUUUGGAGCGGACCCUCUCGUUCUUCGGUUCGUCUGGGGCUGCAAAAUCUGGUGAUAUUUGUAAACUAGAGGAAGCAAAAGUCGUAACA